UUGCAGUGAUUUUUUCCAGACUGAAGGGUGUGUUUGGGGUUUACAAAAUAUCCGGAUGGGUUUCUGAAGCAUUUCGGCCUCCAACGACUUCCAUCAUUUCUUAUUCACUCCCCAAGAAUCGACCAAUUUUGAAUCCAGAAUGGAGCAGAAUCCAAGACCCAGAACCGUUCUUGAAACACUAGGCGAAGAGAUCAUUAGAAUUGUAACCCCAGUUUCAAUAUGCAUGCUGUCAGUGGUAAUUCUUGUUUCUAUUCUCAAUGGGGAUUCCUCCUCCGCGGGCGACUUACCGAUCACAACCAUGGCCACCAUAGCCUACAAGGAGAGUAGCUCAGACUCCACAUGGGACAAGCUGAAGGGUGCCCUCUUGAAUUCACUCGUCUUUGUUGCUGUUGUCACCGUGGUCACUUUCCUCUUGGUGCUUCUGUUCUACCUCAGAUGCACCAAAUUCUUGAAAUACUAUAUGGGUUUCUCUGCUUUUCUUGUUUUGGGGUUCAUGGGGGGUGAGAUUGCUCUUUUGUUGAUCCAAGAUUUCAGCUUUCCUGUUGACUGCAUUACAUCUGCUAUUCUGUUGUUUAAUUUCACUGUGGUUGGUGUUCUGGCUGUGUUCAUGUCAAAGAUGGCUAUUUUUGUUACACAAGCUUACUUAGUUGUUAUUGGGAUGCUGGUGGCUUAUUGGUUUACUCUUUUGCCUGAAUGGACCACUUGGGUGCUCUUGGUUGCUAUGGCAUUGUAUGAUCUUGCUGCGGUUUUGUUGCCUGGUGGGCCUUUGAGGCUCUUGGUAGAGCUUGCUAUGUCUAGGGAUGAAGAUAUUCCUGCUCUAGUUUAUGAGGCACGGCCCGUCAUUAAUGAUUCUGGACCAAGUGGCGGUGUGGUGCGAAGAAGGGUAUGGAGAGAGGGACGGGGCGAUACGGAUGAAAAUCAAGGGCUUAGCACCAAUACAAGGUCUGGUCUUUCUUCAGAUUCUACUCCAGGGACACAUUUAUCAGUUGGAAUUGGUGAACAUGAGAUGAAUCUUGCUGAUGCAGAAGAGGGUCGCGUUACCGGAGGGGAUUCUGAGCUUACCACUCCUCUUGUUCAACAUAUAAAUGUCCAGAUGAACUCUUCAGAAAAUGCUGUUCCAAGUGAAAAUCUUGUGCUUGAAGGAAUUGGCUUGGGAUCCUCAGGGGCAAUCAAGCUUGGACUAGGUGACUUCAUCUUUUACAGUGUGUUGGUUGGUAGAGCUGCUAUGUAUGACUUCAUGACAGUCUAUGCAUGCUACCUUGCUAUCAUAGCUGGUCUUGGUGUAACUCUUAUGCUCCUAGCAUUUUAUCGGAAGGCUUUGCCUGCUCUUCCUGUAUCUAUCAUGCUAGGAUGGGCACAUGUUAGCUGAAGGGAAAACAUUCUGAAAUUAGAGAACUGGCGAUUCUUCUCAUCCUCGGAAAAGCUUCAUAUCUAUUCUGUUUGUGUCGCUUCCUCUCCAGCUCAAUGGAAGAGAACACAAAAUCAAGAUCCAAUUUUCACUUACUAUCAGACCUUGAUGAAAAGAAAAGAAAAAAUUGGAGACACAGAGGACUACAAGAUUUCCUUGGUUUGGCAAUAUCAUGGUUUGUCAUGGGCAGGAAUCAGGUUUCCAUCAACCAAAAAGAGGCAACGAAGACAAGCGUGAGAAAACUGGUCGUGCAUGACUUCUAACAGAGCAUGUCAAUUAACAAUUCAAAGCUUGGCAGGAUAUAAGUGGAGCUGCUGUGCGUGCUUCAAGCUGUCUUGGCAUAGUGUACCGUCAAGCCCCAACUCCAAGCACCAUAGGAAUUUCCCCCUCUUAUAACAUCUACUGUGUUUUUAAACUGGCUCUCUUCUGUAAACUAUCAUCAUAGUACAUCUGUAGUUUUAUUGAAGAUGAAUUUAUCGCUACAUUGUUGUCUGUUUUCUACUUCUUUACCAUCCAUAGAUCAAAACAAUAUGAGCAAUUGUGAUCUUAUGUUAAAAACUGGAUCUACUUGAGUACAUGCAUGUCAGCUGGAGAUGGAAUUUAAUGAUUGUACAAUCAGCAAAGUACCUUUGUGCAGUUGUAAAAGCUUUUCUGUGAUGAUGGAACAGCACGAAGCUCUCGUUCAGAUUAUAUAUUGAUUGGUUGAUUUCUAGCUUUGGCCCCUCCGUGGACCCUUCAUGAAAACUCAGCACUGUCCUAAUAGCUUUAUGAUUUCAAUGCUAUUGCUGUUAGCUUCUGCACGACGAGGUCAAAAUGUGCUAGGGACCACUGUUAUUGUCCCAACACAGACAGGGUCUUAUGUCUAAACAGUGAAGUAGCUAGAAGGAUUCUCAACCAUUUCCGUAACUUCGGGAUGUUUGUUCUAAGAAAAAAAAGAUAAGUGUUGGCCUUGAUCCACCUCUUAUAACAGAGCUUAGAUGCAUUGGAUUAUGAUCUGGAUAAUAAUUUCUACAUUUGUAUUUUACGUCAGCAAUUUUUCUUGUUUAGCUUGUACAGUUGCUUGAGCCUAUCAGUGAAAAGUUCAUACAUUGAUGUCCAAUAAUUUAACUUUUCUAGUGAUGAUUUGUUGCAGGAGACUAGCUUUUGGUGGGUUAUAUGAUUAGGCAUGAGUUUAUCGAGUUUUCUCUUGAAAUUUAUGUCAGGAAAUGUUGUCUAGGAUGCUGAUUUAAAGAAAUUUAAGCCAUUUAGUACCGCAGAGAAUUUAACAGUUUUUCAAUAUUUGCUGGAGGUAAUGUGUGCUGAAACUCCUAUUGUUGGAAUGAGAAGCAUUCUAUUGUUAUACGAGUUUCAAAUCACUGUUAUAGUUUUGUGGUGUUGACACUGUCUUCUUUAUGGUCAUAUAAGCACAAUCAAGUUCUUAUGUCUAAGUCUUUGUCAAUAUUGAAACUAUAGUCAUCCUUUUGAAUUUCUUCCUUUUACAUAAAAGGUCAAUGAAAGAAUUUGUACCAUUACAGAAGUCUUCUGCACUCACUAAAUGCUGCAGGAUUCUCAUUCAAGUAUUACUUUUACUUACAUUGAAUGUCACUAGCGAUUGUGCGAUGAUGUUCUUGUGCAUUAAAUAUCAUAACCUUGUGUCAUCUGAGUUCAAUACUGCACGGUAUGGAACAAGAUUGAAUUUGGAUGAAUUGAAAAGGAUAAAAAACUACUAAUCUCUUUUUGGAGUUGACGCAUUUGACUGUGAUGAGGUUGCUUUCAACUUAGAUUAUUCAGGGAGGAAAUCGGAGUUGCAUGAUGCUUAUUCCCACUGUUGUACUGAGAUUACCUGACUCACUUCUUAUGAUGAUUUCUUUCUUCAAUGCGCAAACAGAUACAGAAAAUUUGCAUGGUGGACUUCAGUGCUAUCUUAACCACGAUCAAUCCUUAUUGCAAUGUUCGAUGAAUAUACUGACACGGGCAAAGCUCAGAAUGAUAUGCAGGAACAUCUUUUCAGAAGUAAGCAGAAUCAUAA